CAGGCCUCCGUCUUAGAAACGAGCAGGACGUGCGACGGGCCGCUCGACAUAAACUGGAUGAGCUCCUGAAAGCACGGCUGGGAGAACACACACGCUUCUCAUCACGCACCAUCAGCAAAAAACCCUCCGAAACUAACUCACCGGCGCGCGGGCCGCCCCGUGCUCCAGGACGCUCUUCUCUUUGCUCAGCUCUUCCUGUAUGAGCCUCUGCAGGACAGGAGCGUUCGGUCCCCUCAGAACAGACACCAGCUGGCCGCCCUGCAGCAAGUACAGCACCUUCACGUCACACAGUUCAGUCUGAGCAUACGAGCUUCAAUCCCAUCAGCCUCGGCCUGCAGGGACGACAGAGAUGUCCACAUUUAAAAAGACUGUCUGUGUGCGAUCUAAUCUCCAGAGAGGCUUGUCUUACCGUGGCAAAAUGCAGCAGCUCGUCUCCCAGCU